GACUCCGUAGCUCAGCUGGUAGAGCAACUGACUCUUAAUCAGUGGGUCGACAGUUCGAACCUGUCCGGGGUCACCA
rnacentral:tRNA from 1 species